rnacentral:rRNA from 1 species
GCUGGAAUUGCUAGUAAUGGCAGGUCAGCAUACUGCCGUGAAUACGUUCCCGGGCCCUUGUACACACCGCCCGUCACACCAUGAGAGUUGGAAAUACCCGAAGCCUGUGAGCUAACAGUAAUGAGGCAGCAGUCGAAGGUAGAAUCAAUGAUUGGGGUGAAGUCGUAACAAGGUACC